rnacentral:rRNA from 1 species
UACAGAGGAGCCAAGCGUUGUCCGGAUUGACUGGGCGUAAAGCGCACGCAGGCGGUCGCGCGCGUGGGGUGUGAAAUCUGGCCGCUUAACGGCCAGGCGCCAUCCCAUACGGCGCGACUGGAGUGAUGCAGAGGUCGGUGGAAUUGCCGGUGUAGUGGUGAAAUGCGUUGAUAUCGACCGGAACUCCGGUGGCGAAGGCGAGGCGCUGGACCCUUUCUGACGCUGAGGCGCGAAAGCCAGGGGAGCAAACGGG